UACAGGGGGAGUAACAAGUCAGAAAUGACUGCUAAUACCGCAUAAGACCACAGCACCGCAUGGUGGCAGGGGUAAAAACGUACCGGUGGUACAGGAUGGACCCGCGUCUGAUUAGCUGGUUGGUGAGGUAACAGCUCACCAAGGCGACGAUCAGUAGCCGGCUUGAGAGAGUGAACGGCCACAUUGGGACUGAGACACGGCCCAAACUCCUACGGGAGGCAGCAUG
rnacentral:rRNA from 1 species